CCCUACGGGGCGCAGCAGGCGCGAAAACUUCACACUGUGCGAAAGCACGAUGAGGGAAUCCCAAGUGCUUGCACGUAAGUGUAAGCUGUUUCUUUGUUCAAAACGCAUUGAGAGUAAGAGCUGGGUAAGACGGGUGCCAGCCGCCGCGGUAAUACCUGCAGCUCAAGUGGUGGCCGCUAUUAUUGGGCCUAAAACGUCCGUAGCCGGUUUAAUAGAUGCCUGGGUAAAUCGUGUAGCUUAACUAUACGAAUUCCGGGUAGACUGUUAAGCUUGAGACCGGGAGAAGUUAGAGGUACUCCUGGGGUAGAGGUGAAAUUCUGUAAUCCUAGGGGGACCACCAGUGGCGAAGGCGUCUGACUAGAACGGGUCUGACGGUGAGGGACGAAGCCCUGGGGCGCAAACCGGAUUAGAUACCCGGGUAGUCCAGGGUGUAAACGCUGCUUGCUUGAUGUUGGUUGGGCUCCGAGCCCAAUCAGUGUCGGAGAGAAGUUGUUAAGCAAGCUGCCUGGGAAGUACGGCCGCAAGACUGAAACUUAAAGGAAUUGGCGGGGGAGCAC
rnacentral:rRNA from 1 species